CGCGGAGUCCAAGAGUAGAGGCAACAAAAGAGGAGAGAGGAGAAGGAGGGGAGGGGGACGGGCCCUCGCCCUCGCGCCGAGAGCGCCCCCCCGAGGCGGACGCGGAGCCCCUCCGGGGCGGCCCUGCCUCCGGGCCCCCUCCGGCCCGCCGCUCAGACAGGUAGUUGGAGAGAAAGAACAAAGCGCCCUGCGAGGGCGGGCGGCGGUCCCGGGGCGCCGCCCUCCGCCGCCCUCGCGCCUCCGCGGCCUCGGGGCAGCGGCUCUUCCGAAGGGACGCGCGGGCCGGCGGCGGAGGCAGCGGGGGGAGCGGCGGGCGGGGCGGGGCGGGGGCGCCCGGCGGCGGCGGCGGCUGGGUACCGACUGCCAUCCUGCGGCAAUUUCCCUGUGUCAUGGCUCCGGUCUCUUAGCAACGGCCGCGAGUCCGGCCGCCCCGAGCGCGCGAGCCGCCGCCGCCGCGGGGGCUCCACUCCACCCGGCGGAGCCCGGCGCGCCGCAGCCACACAAAGGCGGCGCUGCGGCCGGCGGGGCGCGCGCGCGGGGGCUCGCCGCGGGCGCCGGAGGAGCGGCGGCGGGGAGGAGGCUCCGAAGGGGAUGCAGGAUGCGGAGGACCUGACACUUCUUGGAAACUCUCGGAAAUGGCUCCCGCCACAGCACCAGAGGGGGCUGCGAACCCGGGGCGGGCGCUCGCCCCCGCGGGGCUGCUGAGCCGCGCUCGGACGGAGGGCCGCGAGGCGCUGUCCCUGCGCUCCGCCGUCGGCUCGGGCUGAAAAAGUUUCUCCAUGGUUCCUUUGUGUCGCCCGAGCGCCCGUUCGCCGGCCCCGAGCUGCCCCAGUCUUCCUGGCGUGCUGCGACAGGGCCGGCCGGGUCUCAGGAGGGGUGACAUGGCGUUGCGGAAAGAGUGCUGGGUUUGAAGAUCACCUCUGCUUGCUCUCACUGUAGUUUGGUGACUAUAGCACAACUUCAAAUCCAUGGACCACCUGCAACCAGGGCCCCUGUGCAGUUCUUU
rnacentral:lncRNA from 1 species